AAAUUGAAGAGUUUGAUCAUGGCUCAGAUUGAACGCUGGCGGCAGGCCUAACACAUGCAAGUCGAACGGUAACAGGAAGCAGCUUGCUGCUUCGCUGACGAGUGGCGGACGGGUGAGUAAUGUCUGGGAAACUGCCUGAUGGAGGGGGAUAACUACUGGAAACGGUGGCUAAUACCGCAUAACGUCGCAAGACCAAAGAGGGGGACCUUCGGGCCUCUUGCCAUCAGAUGUGCCCAGAUGGGAUUAGCUAGUUGGUGAGGUAACGGCUCACCAAGGCGACGAUCCCUA
rnacentral:rRNA from 2 species